rnacentral:rRNA from 1 species
UGGGGAAUAUUGGGCAAUGGGCGCAAGCCUGACCCAGCAACGCCGCGUGAAGGAAGAAGGCUUUCGGGUUGUAAACUUCUUUUCUGAGGGACGAUAAUGACGGUACCUCAGGAAUAAGCCACGGCUAACUACGUGCCAGCAGCCGCGGUAAUACGUAGGUGGCAAGCGUUAUCCGGAUUUACUGGGUGUAAAGGGCGUGUAGGCGGGAAGGCAAGUCAGAUGUGAAAACUAUGGGCUCAACCCAUAGCCUGCAUUUGAAACUGUUUUUCUUGAGUGUUGGAGAGGCAGGCGGAAUUCCGUGUGUAGCGGUGAAAUGCGUAGAUAUACGGAGGAACACCAGUGGCGAAGGCGGCCUGCUGGACAAUAACUGACGCUGAGGCGCGAAAGCGUGGGGAGCAAACAGGAUUAGAUACC